rnacentral:lncRNA from 1 species
UAACCUUUGCCAGUUGUGUAAGUGGCCCUUUUCUUGAGAAACAUUGCAUAAGGUCGCCUAGUUCUUGGUGCAAGUUUGGUUGCGGCAGUCUAUUGAGUUUAAAUCGUUGGAGAAUCUCCUUCCAUAUCCAUUUUGUAUAAGCACAAGCAAAAUAGAGGUGGUCAACAGUUUCUUCUUGUUGCAAACAAAGGGAGCAUCGGUUAACAUGAUAGAUACCUCUUCUUUUCAUAUUGUCUAUUGUAGGUAGUUUAUUGAGAAGGGCCUGCCAUGUACAUAAGGAGUGUCUUUGUGAUCCCGGUCGAUCCCAUGUCCAACUGCUUGGGACCCACUUGUUAUUUCUUUGCCUAAUUUGAUUCCAUGCGGAUGUGGCAUUAAAUUUGCCAUUGUCAUGAACCCUUGCAGAUUCUAAACUUGGAGUUGAUCUCUUUAGGGGAUCGGCCUCCUUGGAACUCUAUAGGGGUUCCUCCCUCCAAGUUGCUGCUCAAAGGCUGCAGAAAAG